rnacentral:tRNA from 1 species
AUUUAUAUAGUUUAAUUCAUAAAACAUUACAUUUUCAUUGUAAAAAUAGUUUAUCACCACUUAUAAAUU